rnacentral:lncRNA from 1 species
AUGGAAUACAUCAUCAGUGAAAGAGAGAGAAGUCAGUUGGUGACCAGGUAGAUGGACAUUAAACAUUGGGGAUGAAAACUCGAAUUGCUGACAAGUUUUUGGUGUGAGCAUCACAUCUCAACAACUAGAGUGAAGAAAUAAUUAUCUAGGAUGGCAAUGAAACACACUGAUCCUACAUUUAUAAUAUGGAUAAAAGAAGAAAAAAAAGACAGGAUCAAAAGUGGAUUUUAGUUGUAAACUCAGCCAUGGCAGCAAUACAAUGAAUCCACUGAAUGCAUCCUUCAUUUGACAGUAUUCAUAUUUCACCAUGGGAUUUGGAGUGGUCCAUCCAAUCAAAUAGCAGCAAGUACCUUCAGAAAAACCGACCUGAUAUCUGCUCACAAGUUUUCCAGCCUUAUUGUUUGAGAGGAAGGUCACUUUCUGGAAGGCUCAGGAAACUGAAAAAUAUUUUUAGUACCUAUUUUGAGUAGAGGAGAGUUUAGCUAAUUCUAUGGAUAUUGCAGGUUUUAUUAUCUACCUAUAAACUGCCCUAUUCCUGAAGCCCUGCAAGCUAGGGCUGGGCAACUUGAUAUAAACUUCAGAGGACAAUCUUCAUGCAUGCUGCUGUGUGGGCUGCUAAGGAAGUUCACCAAAACAUCCAAUGACAUAAACUAAGCUUGUCCAACAUGUGGCCCACAGGCUGCAUGCAGCCAAAGAUGGCUUUGAAUGUG